rnacentral:rRNA from 1 species
AGCGAACGCUGGCGGCAGGCCUAACACAUGCAAGUCGAACGAAGUCUUCGGACUUAGUGGCGGACGGGUGAGUAACACGUGGGAACGUACCUUUUGGUUCGGAACAACUCAGGGAAACUUGAGCUAAUACCGGAUGAGCCCUUAGGGGGAAAGAUUUAUCGCCGAAAGAGCGGCCCGCGUUAGAUUAGCUAGUUGGUGAGGUAAAGGCUCACAAGGCUACGAUCUAUAGCUGGUCUGAGAGGAUGAUCAGCCACACUGGGACUGAGACACGACCCAGACUCCUACGGGAGGCAGCAGUGGGGAAUCUUGCGCAAUGGGCGAAAGCCUGACGCAGCCAUGCCGCGUGAAUGAUGAAGGUCUUAGGAUUGUAAAAUUCUUUUACCAGGGACGAUAAUGACGGUACCUGGAGAAAAAGCCCCGGCUAACUUCGUGCCAGCCGCCGCAGUAAUAC